CCCUUAGAUGUUCUGGGCCGCACGCGUGCUACACUGAUGCAUUCAACGAGUCUAAAACCUGGUCUGAUAGGGCUGGGUAAUCUUUUGAAAGUGCAUCGUGAUUGGGAUAGAUGAUUGCAAUUCUUCAUCUUCAACGAGGAAUGCCUAGUAAACGCAAGUCAUCAGCUUGCAUUGAUUACGUCCCUGCCCUUUGUACACACCGCCCGUCGCUCCUACCGAUUGAAUGAUCCGAUGAAUACCAUGGAUUGAGAGUACGAAUAGGUUCGCUUAUUUCUGCUGCUUGAGAAGUGGAGUAAAUCUUAUCAUUUAGAGGAAGGAGAAGUCGUAACA
rnacentral:rRNA from 1 species